rnacentral:lncRNA from 1 species
UUUGGGGUUUUUGGGGUCAGGUUUGAGGCUGGGGCGGUUUUGGGGCGUUUUUUGGGAUUUUUGGGGUUUUUUGGGGUCAGGUUUGGUGCUGUGGGUGGUUUUGGGGCGGUUUUUUGGGGUUUUUGGGGAUUUUGGGGUUUUUGGUGUUUUUGGGGUCAGGUUUGAGGCUGGGGGCGGUUUUGGGGCGUUUUUUUGGGAUUUUUGGGUUUUUUGGGGUCAGGUUUGGUGCUGAGGCGGUUUCGGGGUGGUUUUUUGGGGUUUUUUGGGGUGAUUUUGGUGUUUUUGGGGUCAGGUUUGGUGCUGUGGGUGCUUUUGGGGCGUUUUUUGGGAUUUUUGGGGUUUUGGGGGGUCAGGUUUAGGGGUGGGGUGGUUUUGGGGCGUUUUUUGGGAUUUUUGGGAUUUUUGGGGUUUUUGGGGUCAGGUUUGGUGCUGGGGUGCCAUUGGGGCGGUUUUUUGGGAUUUUUGGGGAUUUUGGGGUUUUUGGGAUUUUUGGGGUUUUUGGGUUCAGGUUUGGGCCUGGGGUGCUUUUGGGGCGUUUUUUGGGGGUUUUUGGGGUCAGGUUUGGUGCUGUGGGUGGUUUUGGGGCGGUUUUUUGGGGUUUUUUGGGAUUUUUGGGGGUUUUGGGGUUUUUGGGGUCAGGUUUGGUGCUGGGGGCGGUUUCGGGGCGGUUUUUUGGGAUUUUUGGGUUUUUUGGGGUCAGGUUUGGUGCUGUGGGUGGUUUUGGGGCGUUUUUUGGGAUUUUUGGGAUUUUUGGGAUUUUUGGGGUCCCUUUUAGCUCUGACUCUUCCCCCCAGCCCAGGCGGAUCCGGCGGCCGAUGAGAGCGGCCUGGGCUGCGCUGUCGCUGCUGCUGCUGCCGGCGCUGGGCCGGCGAGUGACGCCCGCGGCCACCGCGACCACCGCGACCACCGGCAUGGCCACCACAACCACCGGCACAGCCACUGCGACCACCGGCACGGCCACCACAACCACCGCAACCACCGGCACAGCCACCGCGACCACCGGCAUGGCCACCGCAACCACCGCGACCACCGGCAUGGCCACCGCGACCACCGCGACCACCGGCACGGCCAGCGCCGGGGACAGCGCCGGGGACGGAUCCGGGGACAGCGCCGAGAUCUCGGCCGCCUUCGUCACCUGCCCCAACGUCAGCGUGGCCACUGAGCUGGCCAGGGCUCUGGUCCAGCAGCGUUUGGCCGCCUGUGUCAACAUCAUACCCGGGGUGACCUCGGUGUGAGUGGGGACAUGGGGACACUG